CUCCUCCUAAAGAGUAACGGAGGAGCACGAAGGUCAGCUAAUCCUGGUCGGACAUCAGGAGGUUAGUGCAAUGGCAUAAGCUGGCUUGACUGCGAGCGUGACGGCGCGAGCAGGUGCGAAAGCAGGUCAUAGUGAUCCGGUGGUUCUGAAUGGAAGGGCCAUCGCUCAACGGAUAAAAGGUACUCCGGGGAUAACAGGCUGAUACCGCCCAAGAGUUCAUAUCGACGGCGGUGUUUGGCACCUCGAUGUCGGCUCAUCACAUCCUGGGGCUGAAGUAGGUCCCAAGGGUAUGGCUGUUCGCCAUUUAAAGUGGUACGCGAGCUGGGUUUAGAACGUCGUGAGACAGUUCGGUCCCUAUCUGCCGUGGGCGCUGGAGAAUUGAGGGGGGCUGCUCCUAGUACGAGAGGACCGGAGUGGACGCAUCACUGGUGUUCGGGUUGUCAUGCCAAUGGCAUUGCCCGGUAGCUAAAUGCGGAAGAGAUAAGUGCUGAAAGCAUCUAAGCACGAAACUUGCCCCGAGAUG
rnacentral:rRNA from 1 species